rnacentral:rRNA from 1 species
UGGGGAAUAUUGGACAAUGGGCGAAAGCCUGAUCCAGCCAUGCCGCGUGAGUGACGAAGGCCUUAGGGUUGUAAAACUCUUUCGUCGGGGACGAUAAUGACGGUACCCGAAGAAGAAGCUCCGGCUAACCUCGUGCCAGCAGCCGCGGUAAUACGAAGGGAGCUAGCGUUGUUCGGAAUCACUGGGCGUAAAGCGCACGUAGGCGGAUAGUUAAGUCAGGGGUGAAAUCCUGGGGCUCAACCCCAGAACUGCCUUUGAUACUGGCUGUCUCGAGGUCGAGAGAGGUUGGUGGAAUUCCUAGUGUAGAGGUGAAAUUCGUAGAUAUUAGGAAGAACACCAGUGGCGAAGGCGGCCAACUGGCUCGAUACUGACGCUGAGGUGCGAAAGCGUGGGGAGCAAACAGGAUUAGAUACCCAAGUAGUCCCUGAGCGGGCUGGCAAGGCGCAU